rnacentral:misc_RNA from 1 species
CUCUCGCUUAGCCUCCGCUAUGUAAACCGGCCUUGUUGUGAAUCUAAACAAAAUUGGUCAGUCGUCGUUUUGUUGCCGUAAGAGCAACGCGUUGAAGGUUCCGCGCUUUCGGUUGAGCAUGUUGCGACAGUGAACGUAGCCGGCAAAAUGCACGCGUUGUUCGGUGAACAGAGCCCCUAUGCGUACCGCGGAGGAGCCGCUGGAGGCUACUCAGCAGGUGUGACGCCCUAUGCUUAUGAACAAUAUCGCUACGGAUAUGGAGCCCCCUACCUUCAUCCUCAUCAACAACAUGUUGGCGCGCCAAAAGAUAUGGUAAAGCCACCCUACUCCUAUAUCGCCCUGAUAGCGAUGGCCAUACAAAACGCUCCUGAAAGACGCAUAACACUAAACGGUAUUUAUCAAUUUAUAAUGGAACGAUUUCCCUACUACAGAGAAAACAAACAAGGUUGGCAGAACUCCAUACGACAUAAUCUAAGUCUCAAUGAGUGCUUCGUGAAAGUGGCAAGAGACGAUAAAAAACCCGGUAAAGGAAGUUACUGGACACUAGAUCCCGAUUCAUAUAAUAUGUUUGAUAACGGUUCAUACUUGCGCCGGCGGCGUCGCUUCAAAAAGAAAGAUGCGCUUAGAGAGAAAGAAGAAGCACUAAAGAGACAGCAGCAAAUGCAUCAAGCUCAAGAAGCACUGAGCGCACAGGAAGCGCUUAGUGCCGCGGAUGCGCUUGGACCACAACGUGACGUAAAGCCUGACGUUAAACCUCGCAUUUUCGAGUGUCGGCCGAAACGAGAACCGGGCGCAGAUUGUGCGCGAUAUGACAAACCAGUGGAUACUCUUGACGACUUCAGUGAACCGCGACUUCCAGCUUCAGCCGUCUACUGUUCGCCGCAACCGUACUCACUGGUAGCUGAAGAAUUUCGUGCCGCCACGUCCGGAUGGUACGCAGCACCCGAACCUCCAACCGAGCAACUACCGCCAGCAUUCCGCGAUCUGUUCGAGCCGCCAAGCUGUCAGUUGGCCGGCUUCCGCAGCGGUUCUCCCGUACCAGACGCAUACCGGGCGUCGCCACCGCCACAUCACCACUACCGCACGCCCGCACCCUCAUACUAUCAUCAUCAAGCGUGCGUCGCCGCCGCUCCUGCGCCAGCACACAAGUCCUACUGAGACCAUGCCCUCAGGAGGCCGGCAUCGCUCGGCGCCGAACGGAUUUAGCCGCACGCGUCAGUUCCAGAGCGGAUAAAUAUAGCGCAGUUGCCGGAGAUGCCGUGGAGGCAAGUGGCGGCGCGUCGAUAACCACUGUUUACAGAUCGGCGGCCGACCCUGCCGCCUCCCGCUCCGUUAACACCUAUAGGUUUAGCGGAACCAGAAUACAGCGGGAGGCUGAGUGCAGGGGUGACGCAAAUAUUUAACGUGUCUGGAAGAUAUGGCCACUUAGUGUCGUAAGAACUAUGAUGUAUUCCGCGUGGUGCACGACUUUUAGCAAAUGUUUAUAAUUUAUAUUGUUCAAGCUAUCGUCUAUGUAUCUCCGCAGGAGAUAUCAUCAAAUGAUAGUGUCCGAAGACUUAAUUUAGUAUGUAUAUUCGUAUUCGUUUACCUAUGAACUUAAUAUAAUAAAUAGUUAAGACGAAAUCCGAUAAUUCCGAAAUAAUGUAGCGUUCAAUAAUUGAUAUAGGUGCGUAGGCCAAGGCACAACAAAAUUUCAGUAUUAUUCACUAAAUCAGUAUUAUGUACCUGCAUGGAGCAUGUACGUAUCACUCGGUCUCUAGAAAAUAUUAUUAGAUGAAAAUGUAAAUAUUUAGUUUUAAGUAAGUAUAAUACUUAGUUGUUCUAUAAAGCGUAGAUUUCCCCUGUCAAGAAAUAAAGUGUUUGUGAAAAUAAGUACAGGGGAUGUGCUGUUAUUCUAGUCUGCUACAUUAAGCAAAAUGUUUGUAAAAUAGACACCUUAACUGGAAAAUAAUAUUGAUUACGUUUUAUGUAUGUUGGGCGAUAGAAGAUGAAAUUAUUUCGAAUGAUUUGUCUUGUUCUCAUUAGUCGCAAAACGACGUCCGGAUUUUUAACUGGUGAUUUUCCCUCAGCUAGACAUUGCAAUCGUGCAGAAAGUUGCAGUUAAUGUAUCAACUACUUGAGUAGGUAUAUUAUGUAGAUACGUACGCUAAUGGAUAUUAUUAAGCUUAGCCAAUAGUUUUGUAUUAAGAGACAAGAGGCGAGUAUCGAUGUUUCUUCACGGACCUAAAUUAGAUAACCUACUUACUUAAUAUACGUAUAUUAACAUAAAUCCCAUCUCAUUGUACUAAGACAAUUAGUUAUUACAAGUACUGCGUAGUUGCAUUUUCAAUGUGUUUAAUAUAUUUUUAUCUGAACUGAUCGCUACUAAUGGAUACUGUAUGUCAACAUUUCGUAUUCGAACAAGAGAUUUAACACAAUCUGGUUUAUUAGUUAAAUAUAAGAGUCAGAGAGAGUAGAGAGAUGAUAGUUGAACAUACGUAGCCUUGGUGUAUUGUUUGUUUUCGUAGGUACCAUGCCAUGCCAGUAAAUGUCACUUUCAGCACUUCAAUUCAAGCAAAUUUUUGCAAGAAAAUAGCAGACUUGAGGUAUCUAAUUGUAAUCCCCUAUCUGAGAUUUACUUAGUCACAUUUCAUUGUUGUUUAUAUAUCAUGCUCCAGUUUCGCAUAGUUAAAUAUUCGAUGACCUACCUAUUAGCAGAUAAAUUUGUGAUAAUUAUUGUAAUCGUGUGUACAUAAAUGUAUUUAAUAAUAAAUGUUUAUUUGUAUUUAG